CUGUCAGAGACAAAGGACCCACUUCGAGUUCAGCCACAUCUCAAGAAAUGUUUUGAAGGGAUCGCUCAACUGACCUUUAACACCGACAAAGAGAUAACUCACAUCCAGUCAGCGGAGAAUGAGAAAGUGGAGCUCGUUCAACGAAUCAUCCCAGCCAGUGCCAGGGGUCUGGUGGAAAAAUGGCUUCAUGAGG
rnacentral:lncRNA from 1 species